UGACCUCGGAUCAGGUAGGAAUACCCGCUGAACUUAAGCAUAUCAAUAAGCGGAGGAAAAG
rnacentral:ncRNA from 2 species